rnacentral:misc_RNA from 1 species
AGCAAUACCAGUUCCCUCACCAAUAAGACCCAGCAGGAUCUGUUCUGUCCCAACAAAGUUGUGACCUAGUCGUCUGGCCUCUUCUUGGGCAAGCAUAAUGACUUUUAUUGCUUUCUCGGUGAACCGCUCAAACAUUGCUUUUGGGACAAAUCGGCACCCUCGUGGCCGUCUGACAAAAGUUGCAGCUGCCACUUUCGAAUGGAGAGUUUCUCCAGAUUUUACUAGUAGUGUAUCUAAUGCAUUGCACCCUCGCAGUCCUGCAAAAUUGUUCAGCCUUGAGGAACAACAUUUUACAUUACAUAGCAUUCUAACAGUUCUUUGAUCUUUCCGGGAUCCAUUGAAUUGUCCAGCCCUUUCACCAGCAACUGAAGGUAGAAUGUUUGUUGACUGAACUAAAGCUCUAGCCAUCAUGGACCUGCAACCUCAAUAACACUAAAGAUGGUGGAAAGAGGAGAAAAAAGAAAGAGAAAAGAAAUAGAGAGAGCUUGAAAGUCG